rnacentral:rRNA from 1 species
GACGAACGCUGGCGGCGUGCCUAAUACAUGCAAGUCGAGCGAACGGACGAGAAGCUUGCUCCUCUGAUGUUAGCGGCGGACGGGUGAGUAACACGUGGAUAACCUAACUAUAAGACUGGGAUAACUUCGGGAAACCUUAGCUAAUACCGGAUAAUAUUUUGAAACGCAUGGUUCAAGAGUGAAAGACGGUCUUGCUUUCACUUAUAGAUGGCCCCGCGCUGCAUUAGAUAGUUGGUAAGGUAACGGCUUACCAAGGCAACGAUGCAUAGCCGACCUGAAAGGGUCGUCGACCACACUGGAACUGAGACACGGUCCAGACUCCUACGGGGGGAAGCGGUAGGGACUCUUACGCAAUGGGGGAAAGCCUGACGGAGCAACACGGGGUAAGGCAUGAAGGUCUUCGGAUCGUAAAACUCUGUUGUUCGGAAGGAUGAUAUGUGUAAGUACCUGUGCACAUCUUGACGGUACCUAAUCAGAAAGCCACGGCUAACUACGUG